rnacentral:rRNA from 1 species
GCAUCCAUGAGUAGAGUGGCAAACGGGUGAGUAACGCGUGGGCGACCUACCUCUGAGUGGGGGAUAACCUUCCGAAAGGAGGGCUAAUACCGCAUGACAUCCCAUCUUUAGAUAGGUGGACAUCAAAGCCGGGGAUCGUAAGACCUGGCGCUUGGAGAGGGGCCCGCGUCCGAUUAGCUAGUUGGUGAGGUAACGGCUCACCAAGGCUCCGAUCGGUAUCCGGCCUGAGAGGGCGGACGGACACACUGGAACUGAGACACGGUCCAGACUCCUACGGGAGGCAGCAGUGGGGAAUUGUUCGCAAUGGGCGCAAGCCUGACGACGCAACGCCGCGUGGAGGAUGAAGACCUUCGGGUCGUAAACUCCUUUCGACCGAGAUGAAUACUGUUCGACCUAACACGUCGAAUGGCUGACAGUAUCGAGGGAAGAAGCCCCGGCUAACUCCGUGCCAGCAGCCGCGGUAAUACGGGGGGGGCAAGCGUUGUUCGGAAUUAUUGGGCGUAAAGGGUUCGUAGGCGGUCGACUCAGUCAGACGUGAAAUCCCCCGGCUUAACCGGGGAACUGCGUCUGAUACUGGUUGGCUUGAGUGCAGGAGAGGAAUGCGGAAUUCCAGGUGUAGCGGUGAAAUGCGUAGAUAUCUGGAGGAACACCGGUGGCGAAGGCGGCAUUCUGGACUGUAACUGACGCUGAGGAACGAAA